rnacentral:misc_RNA from 1 species
ACACCUCAACCCUCCAGUGUUUUUUGCAUUGCAGGUGUUGGUAGUGAGCGCUGCCGGUCUUUGGAUCGGCUCGCUUUAAAAUCAUUAGCUGGAUCCAUUCUGACCUGGUUCUACUCGGCGUAAUAAGUUAUUAUCGUCGAGGACGCCUGGCCUUUGUAGGCAGGGCGGCCACAGUAAGGGUGUUUGAACCGCUUCCAACGCGUCUUGCUCUUGUAGCAAACACUUGAAC